UCCUUUUGUUAAAAAUUUAAGGUCUAGCCUGCCCAAUGAUAAUUUUAAUGGCCGCGGUAUUUUGACCGUGCUAAGGUAGCAUAAUCAUUAGUUUUUUAAUUGAAAGCUGGAAUGAAGGGUUGGAUGAAAAAAUUUCUGUCUCAUUUUAAUUUAAUUAGAAUUUUAUUUUUAAGUUAAAAAGCUUAAAUAUUUUUAAAAGACGAGAAGACCCUAUAGAGUUUAAUAAUAUAAUUAUAUUAUAAAUUUAGAAUUAAAAUUUUUAUUAUACUGGUAUUAUUUAAUUGGGGUGAUUGAAAAAUUUAAUAAACUUUUUUUUUAUUAGAAUAUAAAUUUAUAGAUAUAUGAUCCUAAAUUUUAGAUUAUAAGAAAAAAUUACCUUAGGGAUAACAGCGUAAUUUUAUUUGAGAGUUCAAAUCGAAAAUAAGGGUUGCGACCUCGAUGUUGGAUUAAAG
rnacentral:rRNA from 1 species